rnacentral:rRNA from 1 species
GACGAACGCUGGCGGCGUGCUUAACACAUGCAAGUCGAACGGAAAGGCCCUGCUUUUGUGGGGUGCUCGAGUGGCGAACGGGUGAGUAACACGCGAAUAACCUGCCCUUGACUUUGGGAUAACUUCAGGAAACUGGGGCUAAUACCGGAUAGGAGCUCCUGCUGCAUGGUGGGGGUUGGAAAGUUUCGGCGGUUGGGGAUGGACUCGCGGCUUAUCAGCUUGUUGGUGGGGUAGUGGCUUACCAAGGCUUUGACGGGUAGCCGGCCUGAGAGGGUGACCGGCCACAUUGGGACUGAGAUACGGCCCAGACUCCUACGGGAGGCAGCAGUGGGGAAUAUUGCACAAUGGGCGGAAGCCUGAUGCAGCAACGCCGCGUGCGGGAUGACGGCCUUCGGGUUGUAAACCGCUUUCGCCUGUGACGAAGCGUGAGUGACGGUAAUGGGUAAAGAAGCACCGGCUAACUACGUG